rnacentral:rRNA from 1 species
GGGGAAUCUUGGACAAUGGGGGCAACCCUGAUCCAGCGAUGCCGCGUGGGUGAUGAAGGCCUUCGGGUUGUAAAGCCCUUUCGGCGGGGACGAUAGUGACGGUACCCGCAGAAGAAGCCUCGGCUAACUCCGUGCCAGCAGCCGCGGUAAGACGGAGGAGGCUAGCGUUGUUCGGAAUUACUGGGCGUAAAGCGUGCGUAGGCGGUGCCUCAAGUUUGGUGUGAAAUCUCCCGGCUCAACCGGGAGGGUGCGCCGAAAACUGAGGUGCUCGAGUGUGGGAGAGGUAGGCGGAAUUCCUGGUGUAGCGGUGAAAUGCGUAGAUAUCAGGAGGAACACCGGCGGUGUAGACGGCUUACUGGACCAUAACUGACGCUGAGGCACGAAAGUGUGGGGAGCAAA